AGAUUCUCAAAGGAAUUGGCGGAGGGGCGCGCACAAGCGGUGGAGCGUGUGGUUUAAUUCGAAGCAACGCGCAGAACCUUACCAACCCUUGACAUCCCCGGACCGCCGCAGAGACGCGGUUUCCACUUCGGUGGCCGGGUGACAGGUGCUGCAUGGCUGUCGUCAGCUCGUGUCGUGAGAUGUUCGGUUAAGUCCGGCAACGAGCGCAACCCACGUCCCCAGUUGCCAGCAUUCAGUUGGGCACUCUGUGGAAACUGCCGAUGAUAAGUCGGAGGAAGGUGUGGAUGACGUCAAGUCCUCAUGACCCUUACGGGUUGGGCUACACACGUGCUACAAUGGUGGUGACAAUGGGUUAAUCCCCAAAAGCCAUCUCAGUUCGGAUUGUCGUCUGCAACUCGACGGCAUGAAGUUGGAAUCGCUAGUAAUCGCGUAACAGCAUGACGCGGUGAAUACGUUCCCGCCCCUUGUACACCCCGCCCGAAUCUGUCCCCGAC
rnacentral:rRNA from 1 species